UAGUAUUCGGCUCCAGUCAGUGUGUUAGUUCGAAGUAUAUGAGUUGAUCGAUCAGUACCGUAAGAGAAGGGCUCUGGUGAGUGGUGAUGAGCUGCAAGAACAGGUCGUGCAUGUUGUUGACGACUAAAGCUAGGCUCAUAGCUGAGGAAGCAACAAAGCCAUCUAAGUAAGAAUGGAGGGCAUCAGGACAAAUCCUGAGAUUUGCGACCAAAGGGGUUUCUGGUCUUCCCUUGUAAAACCCUCUAGGGCUUUGGAACCAGCGGAAACAGAAUGCAAGGACUGAGCACAGAUUUGCUAGUACACAGGCUCGCAGCUCAAAGGGGACGAGAGUCAAUGGAUAGCUAGGGAAAUGGUGAAAACCAAAAUUAGGAAUGGAAGGCUCCAGGAGAACCUGCAUGCUAAAAGAACAAGCGCAUGUUUCCACGCGCUUCUCCUACCGUGCAGCGCGAUCGUGACAAGGUCAACUUCAUAUUCUCCGUGGAGCGAGAGAUUAUUGUCCUGCUAUUCGGUCAUGCGCUUUGAGGUUGCGUCAAACGAAGGAAAAGGGAGUGAUGCUUUUCAGUAGCUGGAGCAGGGAAUGUUACAGUGGUGGUGAUGUUGUACCCAUCCCUGCAAUAUCUUAUUUUGUUAACCUUCAAAUCAAAACUAUUUGUAUACUCUAUCUAUUCAUGCGUAUAUAAUGAUACAAAUCUAUUCGUGAGUUCGCACGA